UACGUAGGGGGCAAGCGUUGUCCGGAUUUAUUGGGCGUAAAGCGCUCGCAGGUGGUUCGAUACGUCGUGCGUGAAAGACCCCGGCUCAACUGGGGAGGGUCACGCGAUACUGAUCGACUCGAAGGCAGGAGAGGGAAGUGGAAUUCCCGGUGUAGUGGUGAAAUGCGUAGAUAUCGGGAGGAACACCAGUGGCGAAGGCGACUUCCUGGCCUGUUCUUGACGCUGAGGCGCGAAAGCUAGGGGAGCAAACGGG
rnacentral:rRNA from 1 species